UAACCGAAACCGGAGGACACCAUGAAGUUCAAGCACAUCCUGAUGCUCACCCUGGGUGCGGCCGCAGUGGCCGCGCUUCCUGCCCUGACCCAGGCGGCCCCGCAGCAGACCGGGCAGGGCGCCAUCGCGCAGAAGGCCGACGACGCAAAGGCCAAGACCGAAGCCGAGCGCAAGGCCGAGCGCCGCGCCGCCGCCGCUGCGCAGAAGCCGAAGGGCGACGUCGCUCCGCGCGAGGAAGAAGAAGAGAAGCCGGCGCGCUGAUGACGCUGCGCCUCGGGCACUCGUGACACAGACGCCCCGGCUUUGGCCGGGGCGUCUGCAUUUUGCGGCCUGCAC
rnacentral:sRNA from 1 species